AGGUACUGAAGAACUAAUACAGUUUAGACACCAGAGGUCUCACAAGUUAAACCCUCUAUAUAAUACAGAGCCCUCCUGAGAAUCAACUUAAGGUGAAAUGUUUUAAAGAAGAGAUAAUGGUGGUGGUGUGGUGGUACAUGUUGAGCAACCAGCUCUCUGGAGGAACUGAAAAAUACUUCUAAUCUGGCAAAUUCAGCGAGAAGACUGAGUUCCUUAAUUUCUGUCAGCACCAGUGAAAAACUGUCCUAAACUGACCCUGGCUUACAGAUGUACCACUGGAUCUUGGACUAAAUGGAAAGAAGAACAGCAGAAUGGUUGGUGGAGAUUCCUAUGCUUUCGACCCAUGGCGGGGUCACUAAGUCAGG
rnacentral:lncRNA from 1 species